rnacentral:rRNA from 1 species
CUGCCCUAUGAUAAGUAUUAAAUGGCUGCAGUAUUUUAACUGUACAAAGGUAGCAUAAUAAAUAGUUUCUUAAUUGGGAGCUUGUAUGAAAGGGUUUAUGAAUUAUAAUUUUUAUUUUAUUUAUUUUUAGAAUUUUAUUUCUAAGUAAAAAAGCUUAGUUUUUUUU